rnacentral:rRNA from 1 species
GACGAACGCUGGCGGCGUGCUUAACACAUGCAAGUCGAACGGAAAGGCCCUGCUUUUGUGGGGUGCUCGAGUGGCGAACGGGUGAGUAACACGUGAGUAACCUGCCCUUGACUUUGGGAUAACUUCAGGAAACUGGGGCUAAUACCGGAUAGGAGCUCCUGCUGCAUGGUGGGGGUUGGAAAGUUUCGGCGGUUGGGGAUGGACUCGCGGCUUAUCAGCUUGUUGGUGGGGUGGUGGCUUACCAAGGCUUUGACGGGUAGCCGGCCUGAGAGGGUGACCGGCCACAUUGGGACGGAGCUACGGCCCAGACUCCUACGGGAGGCAGCAGUGGGGAAUAUUGCACAAUGGGCGGAAGCCUGAUGCAGCAACGCCGCGUGCGGGAUGACGGCCUUCGGGUUGUAAACCGCUUUCGCCUGUGACGAAGCGUGAGUGACGGUAAUGGGUAAAGAAGCACCGGCUAACUACGUG